CGAAAGCCUGACGGAGCAACGCCGCGUGCGGGAUGACGCCUUUCGGGGUGUAAACCGCUGUUCGUGGGGACGAAGCACUGACGGUACCCACGGAGGAAGGCCCGGCUAACUACGUGCCAGCAGCCGCGGUAAUACGUAGGGGCCGAGCGUUGUCCGGAGUUACUGGGCGUAAAGCGUGCGCAGGCGGUCUGUCGCGCCCGGCGUGAAAGCCCCCGGCUCAACCGGGGAGGGUCGUCGGGGACGGGCAGACUUGAGGGUGUCAGGGGCUGGUGGAAUUCCCGGUGUAGUGGUGAAAUGCGUAGAGAUCGGGAGGAACACCCGUGGCGAAGGCGGCCAGCUGGGACACACCUGACGCUGAGGCACGAAGGCG
rnacentral:rRNA from 1 species